GACGAACGCUGGCGGCGUGCUUAACACAUGCAAGUUGAACGGAAAGGCCCUGCUUUUUUGGGUUGCUCGAGUGGCGAACGUGUGUGUAACACGUUAGUAACCUGCCCUUGACUUUGGGAUAACUUCAGGAAACUGGGGCUAAUACCGGAUAGGAGCUCCUGCUGCAUGGUGGGGGUUGGAAAGUUUCGGCGGUUGGGGAUGGACUCGCGGCUUAUCAGCUUGUUGGUGGGGUAGUGGCGUACCAAGGCUUUGACGGGUAGCCGGCCUGAGAGGGUGACCGGCCACAUUGGGACUGAGAUACGGCCCAGACUCCUACGGGAGGCAGCAGUGGGGAAUAUUGCACAAUGGGCGGAAGCCUGAUGCAGCAACGCCGCGUGCGGGAUGACGGUCUUCGGGUUGUAAACCGCUUUCGCCUGUGACGAAGCGUGAGUGACGGGAAUGGGGAAAGAAGCACCGGCUAACUACGU
rnacentral:rRNA from 1 species